ACGGAGGGGGCAAGCGUUGUUCGGAAUUAUUGGGCGUAAAGGGCUCGUAGGCGGAUCGGCUGGUCUGGCGGGAAAUCUCCCCUGCUUUAAAGGGGGGGGGCGCUGGAAACUACCGAUCUGGAGUAUGGUAGAGGAACAUGGAAUUCCGCAUGUAGCGGUGGAAUGCGUAGAUAUGCGGAAGAACACCGGUGGCGAAGGCGGUGGUCUGGGCCAUAACUGACGCUGAGGAGCGAAAGCCAGGGGAGCAAACGG
rnacentral:rRNA from 1 species